rnacentral:sRNA from 1 species
UUAUAGCCCUGAUGGGAGUGGAAAUCUCCCGCUUUUUUUGCGGGAAUUGCAACGGACAGCAGGAAUACGG